GGGGCUUAAAGUGCCGCGGUUCCAGUAGCACAAACAUUUCCAAGCUCACAGUCCAUAGAUACAGGGCGCUCGCGUUGAAUGCAAUGGAGACCACCCGUCUAGACCCUGAAACUCUGCAACCCCAGAAGCCUUGCGAUCAGAUUACAGACCCCAGCAUUUUCAGAGUAAAAGUACGAUUAUAUUAGGGGCGGGGGAGGGGGAAUCAAAGUUUGGUGACCGCACUUCAUUGUUGAAAAGAAAACCGAUGCAAAGACUCCAGCACGAGUAAACGAUUUCUGAAGUGUAUGCUAGAGCAGAGCGUUGCUAUCAACUUAGGUACGUUCUAAUUUUCCUCCAGGUGCUGUAAACGUACCUUUGCAAAUAUUAUUGCUCUAAUUAGAAGGAAACUAUUCCACAUACGGUUAAAACGAGGCCGGCAGAAGUGUGCUUCAUUUCCGAACUUGACCCCUUAACCUGCACCUCAAGCUCAUUUUUAUUGCUACCCACUGAGCCCUGCUCUCCACGCACCGGUUGCACCAGCCCUGCCGACCCGUACGUUCGCGGUCUCCGCUGGGAUGGCUGGAAAGGAAGCGAGAAAGUCACGGAAGAACUUACCUGAAACGAUCCCAUUCGACAGGAACCCCAGCUGGUAAAGGAGGCAGCAGCAGCAGAUGAGUUUCCGAGGCCGAGCAGGCUAGUGCUGGAGCCCCACAAGACAGACCCACAGCCAGCCGAGAGCCGGGAGUGCUGCCUCUGGACAGGCAGAGGACUGCCCGGCGCGGGCAGGAGAGCUGUGGUGUCCGAGCCGAGGCUCGCCGCCUGCACCCGCGCGGAACGGGCGGAGGCUGGUGUCACAGUCUCAGCAACUUGGUGUGCCAAGCUCCGCACACUCCUCACGCUCCUUAGGACGCACCGCUGAAGGCUCUCACCCGCAGCGGCGCGGGAGGGAAUGAGUAGGGAGAUGGGAAGACACGACUAGAGAGUUGCUGAAUGCGUACUAUGAAUAGAAAUACUAUGGAAUUGGAAGAUCAGGAGUUUUCCUGACAUAUAAGAUCUGUGGCAACCUCAACAAUUUACACCGUAUUAACAAAACGUGGUCAUGCCAAGCUGGUCAUCCUGUGAUGAUGUGUACGUCAGUGUGGGAAGCAUGCAGAUUUUUUAAUCUUUUUUAGAGCUCCUUUUGCCCUGCUGCCAAGGGCUACCCAUGGUCAUGUAGGACCUUCAUGGUGUGGUAUAAUCUUUUGCCAGGCUUUACCCAGCCCAGAAGAAUAGAUUUGAAAGUAGUGCAGAGACUGGCUUUCAGACUCCUAUUAUCAGCCUUAUUGGUUUUCAUGUUUUGCCAAAUACAGCCUAAGCAGUGAGAGAUGUAUUGAGUUCCUCACAACAGAACAUGUUGAAACAUAAGCUACACAUUUAAUUGGAAGAAGGCAAUAUAGACAGGAUUCAGCCUUUACUGCUUUGCUUUUAAGCUCAAAUAAUAGUGGUAUUUGGAAAACAUCACAAAGCUCUGCAGUUAUUUUCCAUAGAUGUUGACUUUUUUUUUUCCUAGAAGUGAUUAUAAUAUUGCCAGUUGAUCCUGAGAUUACGCAUGUGUUGAGGAAAUACUAAUCAGAAGUAUGUCAGUCCUUCUUGCUUCACAAAGCUUCUGUAUCACUAAGGUUUAUACUGGCUUUAUCUCUGACUACUCUCAUUACUUUAAAGUUUCCAUCAAAGUGUGUAGUGUAGUAUCUUGCCAGAUUCUGCCAAGGAGAAUCUUUGAAGUAUUUUGGUCUUCUUAGGAACUUACUGAUCAUUUACUUAGGAGAGUGAUGACAGACUGCUCUGUUAUUCUUCAGUGCUAUCUCACUAACUCUGAAUAAAGUGAACCACUCUGGUGGUUUUCAUGUUAGAUGAUGAUAAUGACAGUUGGUUUGCCCAGGAUGAUAGAGAGCUCUGCAUUCUGGCGGUAAUUUUCAAUCUUCUGUUCUCUGUCAGCCCUAACAACCCACUCACUUUUCAUACAUUUAUUCUUACAUAACAAGCAAAAUACCUGUUAUAGGUCACAGUUCCUUACUACAGACUAUUAUAACUGUUAAUGUAUUAGGAAAAUGACAAAUAGUCAUGAUAUUUGUAAUAGAUAUUGCAGGACAUAGAACUAAGUAAAAGUAGGGCAUAAGGGAAUAAGUAGUCAUCUCUGUCUGCAUGGGCAAAGGAUCAUUUCAUGGAGGAUUGAUUUACAAAGUGAAAAAUUGGCUACAGUUCUCCACAUGAGGAUGAGGGCCAGAAGCUCAGCUAUUACUGAGGCCUGAGCUUUACCAGCUUCCUCUAGAGGCAAACAGAUGGAGGUCUUGGGCACAACAGGUUGGGGUGCCUGAGCCGGGUAAUAAUACUGGCAAGACAGGGUAGAUUGUUUAAGUCUCAAGAAUUAUGCAAGCUAGUUGAUUAACAUAGCCAUUAUUAGAGAUCAUAUUAAACUUAUAAUUAAGCAAAUUAAAAACAAAGGUAAUAAAUAUUCAAAACUUAUAACUUCCCAAUGAUUUUAACUAUACUGUACUCUUUGUAUGCUUGUGAGGUUAUUUCUACUUGACUAGAGUAAUAGAAAUACUAUAUAAUUCUGUACUACUAUGCAUCUUUCCAAUUCCUCCUAUAGUGACAUCAUGUUGAUAGCUUGAAAUUGGCUAUGGAGAGGCCAGGAAAAAUCAUGCCAGGAAAAAAUCAGCAAACUCUACAAAUCAGCUUUUUAUUUGUUGUUUUGUUGAUUGGUUGUCUGGGCCUAAGAAAGUGGUGGAGAAAAUGUUAAUAAUUCAGAUUACACUUAAGUGUGCUGUAUCUAAAGUUUUUAUAUUGUGAGUAGUACAAAAAUUGAAAUAUGCUAUAUGUAUUUGAAAACUGUUGUCUGAUUCAGUUGCCAUUAAUGAGUGAAGUUCUAACAUACGUCACUGUUCAUUUUCAUCAUACCCAUAAAUAUAACUGAAAAUAUUAACAUUCAUGUCAGAAACUACAGUUGCUUAUGAACUAUAUUUUUGUUCCAGAUACAUCAGUUUGGCAAAAAUCAACAAAAAAUCUGUUAGAAUUCAUUGGCAAUAUGGAAUUUACAAGAAAGGGUAAUGCAUAUGUUGUUACUUAUAAAUUAUGUGCUGUGCAC
ensembl:lncRNA ADAMTS19-AS1 ADAMTS19 antisense RNA 1